rnacentral:lncRNA from 1 species
AAAACACAAAUGCAUCAUGCCAACACACAUUUGAUGACUUCAGUCGCUUUUAAGUAAAGCCCAACUCCGGCGUCUGGUACACCAGGCCCUUCGAAGUCAGCCUCAGAUGACCUUACCAACUGCCUCUCCAGUCACUCCCCGGGAACCCAGAUACUAUUGAAAUGAGAAUCUAAUCUGAGGGAUGGAUAUUUAUUGAAAGGGCUUCUGGAAGCAAAGAAUAAGCUCUUAAGAGAAACUCUCCCGGUGGAAGCCUGUUCCGAAGGCAGUCUACACGCUGGUAUAGUCCACUCUCCUGCAUCACAUCACAGUCACAAGCACAGGCUCUGGGACCAGACAGCUCUGGUCAGAAUCCCGAUUCUGUCGUGCACCAGCGGUCCACACUGGGGUGGCCUCUUGAGUCUCAGUAUCCGCGUCUGGAAAGAGGAGAAUAACUCAGACUGCACCGGCAGGGUGUGGAGCUCUCAGCUUGGUGUUGGGCACACAGGUGUGGUCUACCAGCAGUUGCUCUUUAUUGUUGUUGUUGUUAUGAGGGUCCUCAGUAAAUUUGAAGUGAGAGCAGAAGUUCUAAAUCAGAGCAGAACACUAUUAAAAUAUUGGUGGAUUUUAAUGGUCACUAUUAAAAUAUUGACCAUUUGGAGAGGUAUAAUGAGAGAGAUUGCAUCUGAAUGUAAGUGUAGACGAAAAGAAAAUUAGUAAAGCAACUUGUUACAACCCAAGACUGGCACAUAGGCAGCACCUCUCCUUGGCAAAAUAGGGCAGGUGGGGAGGAGGGAAGAUGUGUCUGGCCACCAACAGAGGGUCAGCACUCAAACCCCAUUUAGGUUCCAGACGGCAGCAAGUUCCCACCUGGAGAGGGGGAAGCAGCCCCAGAAACUCAGGCAUCAGGUGAUCUCGUCCAGAAUUCCAGCUCCUAGGAAGAGAGACAGUGAGAACCACGCAGAAGCCAUGUCCUCUGGUGAUGAAGCCCUGGGCUUCUCCUGAGGUUCUGGACACCCCUACUCUGCCCACGGGAUUGGUAGCCAAGCGCAGCUGGGACCAAGAUGGGAAACUGGGGGCCAGCUAGGGGCCCCAUUGUGCAACCUAAAUGUAUACAAUUUUUAUUUGUCAAUCAUACAUCAACAAAGCUGGGGGGGAAAUAAG